rnacentral:rRNA from 1 species
AUUGAACGCUGGCGGCAGGCCUAACACAUGCAAGUCGAACGAGUGGCGGACGGGUGAGUAAUGUCUGGGAAACUGCCUGAUGGAGGGGGAUAACUACUGGAACCGGUAGCUAAUACCGCAUACCAUCAGAUGUGCCCAGAUGGGUUUAGCUGGUUGGUGUGGUAACGGCUCACCAAGGCGACGAUCCCUAGCUGGUCUGAGAGGGUGACCAGCAACACUGGAACUGAGACACGGUCCAGACUCCUACGGGAGGCGGCAGUGGGGAAUCUUGGGCAAUGGGCGCAAGCCUGAUGCAGCCAUGCCGAGUGUAUGAAGAAGGCCUUCGGGUUGUAAAGUACUGUCAGCGGGGAGGCGUUACCCGCAGAAGAAGCACCGGCUAACUCCGUGCCAGCAGCCGCGGUAAUUC